ACACACGGCACAAGAUGGCCGGAGAGGCAGCAGCACUGCGAGCUGUCAGGCGUUCCUCCGCGGCCGCGGUGCCCGCCGGUCGGCGGGGAGCUGCGCCCGGGAGGCCCGCAGGCUCGCGGGAACCCAGCGGCUGCGGAUGGGGCGAGGCGGGCCGCGGGCAACUUACAAGAUUAAAAUUAAAUUUGGUUGAUGAUGGUUCUGGACAAAUACAGCUCUUUUAUUUGAGGUAUGCCAUUUUGAAGACAGACCCGUGGAAUUUUAUCCUUGAGGAUAGGGGAAAUCUUUGUGAAAGUCUGUAUUUUAUAAAGCAACAAUAUGAAUCCUGAGGCUGAAUUGUCUAAGGGGCCUGUACAGCGAAAUAGAUCACCCAGUCAGCUUGAAGAGUCUCAAAUGGACCCUACAACUGAGAAAUCAAGAUGGCAGUCCACUAUGGGAAAUGAGAAAAAUGGACUAAUGCAAGAGUGCUGUGAUAAUAACAACCAAGACAGGGUUCUUUUAACAUGGAUUUCAUGAAUGAAGAUAUAGGUUUCUUAACCAACACAAUGGACAGUGGAUUUGACUUUGGAAAGACUUUUUGUAUCAUAAAAACAAGAACAUUUUUGACACUUGGAGAAGAAAGAUGACACAUUAACAGAUGAUAGUGUGUAUGCCUGGAAUUUUUUGGUUUGAUUUGUAUGAGAAUGACCUUGUGGAAUGUUAACUUUAAUAAAAUUUCUAACAGU
rnacentral:lncRNA from 1 species